GACUUUGCGGACUGCGGGUCCUCUGGUUUCCCCCUCGGAUUCUGCAUUUUCAAUAUGUGAAUAGCGGGGAGGAGGAGGAAGGCCAUGCGACUGACUAACUCCAAAAAGACUUACCAUCUUCCCCAAAUGAUGCUCCUUAAACUCUUCCCCACUUGGGCUAUCAGAUUCCACCGCAAACUCUCCCUGACCUGGAGAUACAGCAGCGAAACAAACACUUUGAAUGAGUCUCCUUGACUUUUCUGGGGGGUUUCUUUUCUUUCUUUUAAGUUGCAUUUUCAUUUCCGCCUGGGCAUUUGCAUUAUCAAAAGGAAGACAAAAGCAAUCCAGAGAGGGAAGCAGAUUUCCAAAUGCAUGUUCUCUCCUCUACUCUGAAAUGUGUUCAUUUGCAUCAAGCGCGGACAGGCGGAUUAUGCCAGAAAGUGACCCCGGCAGCGGCGUCACCAGGAGACAAUGGCGAAUUUUGGAGCUGUGUGUGGCGCAGCAGAAUUCAGGGGAACCAGCAGACAGAUGGCCUAGGCUGGGGAGUAGGGGGUCUGCCUGCUUCCCUGCCCGCCCUCUGGGUUGCCCUUUCAUUUCAGUGAGGCUCAGGCAAGGAGAACUUUCUCUUGGAUCGGCCUCGGAACACUGAGGGCUCCUCGUUUUACAAGCGCCACCUUGCAGAGAUGAGCGGAUAAGGUGGCAUAGAAGCGCAUUCAGACGGCUGCGCUCCUACUUACGCUUCUCUGUGCCCAUGCCUCACUGAGCUCACGCAGGCAUCUAUAGCAUUGUCCUAAAUAAAAUGAACCUAACCGCCAGUUUGAAACCACCCAGUUUCAAUUAGUUCACUGUUUAAUCUAAGAACUUUUUUCAAAGGCUGUUGUCUUAAAAGUGUUUGCUAGAUUGUUUUUACUUGGUGAAUUAUUGCCCUGCGGGGAUUCCAAAUUGGUCCAGGCUCCUACAUAACAAAAGAUGCGGCCAGUGGGGGCAGGAUUUCUCGCCCGCCGCGGCAGCCGCUGAAAAGGAAGAGUUCAAAACCCUCCAGAAAGAAAGAACUUUUCCGCAAGGACCACAAAGCUGGGCCGAGAGGUCCCAGCAGGAAAACAAAACAAAACAAAAAAUGUCGCCUCGCAUUCCACUGACUUUUUCGCAACCUGGUUGGCAAGCCCGAAUUGAACUAGCCUUCCCCUGCCGGCUUCGUCCCGACAACCUCCUAAUCUACUGGGAAGGGCUCUCUGCACCCGGGAGGACCGCCUCGCUGCCACCCCGAAGCGCUUCGAGGACGGAGAAGGGGCCUCCGUGGGGAAGCGGAGACCAGGCAGGCAGCUCUGCCGCGCACGGCUUCCUCUGAGAAGCAGAAGGAGUUUGAGCUUCCCAGAGCUGGUUUGGCCGUUACUCUCAAGCUUGCUGACAGAAGCUUAAAUCCUAGGAACUAGCAACCAAUGGAUUCAAAUGACAAGAAAGGAGAUUCCGACUUAACAUUAGGAAGAACUUUCUGACGGCAAGAGAUGCUCGGCAGAGGAACGGGCUCCUUCGGAAGGUGGUGGACUCUCUUUCAUUGGAGGAAGUACAACACAGAUUUCUUGGGGGAACGGCAACGACUUCUUUGUCUUGCUCCUCACAGGGCCGUUGUGUGGAAACUGAGUCAGGAGCAUGAUGAGCUGGGGGCUCAGAUGAACAUCUCAGAUCAACCAUGAACUCCUUCUGUGGCUUUGUGGGUAGUUUUCCCUUUGUACAGGUAUGUAUACAAGAAGCAAAGCAGGCAUCAAGCUGAGAGAACAUUUGACCAAGCCAGGCUCAUGGAGCUAGGAUGUCAGACCUUCCUGUCUCAGAGUCUGCAGCUCUGCUGUUGUUUUAUUUUUUUUACUGUAUAUAAGGACACCCAAUUGUUGGAUGGAUUUAAAUGAGUAGGAGAGGAUAUUUUAUUAGUAAUUAUACUUCCUCUUUCUCGCUUAUGUGAGAAUACAAAUAUCUAUUUCAGCAGAGUUAAAAAUCACCAUCCAUGUGCAGCUUACCUCUGGAUGCUAUUAGGACAAGGUUGCAUAACCUUCUGGAACAAUUGUGAUAUCCAAGGAUGCUUUAGGCAGACUUAGAUUAUCUCCUCCCUGUUUUAUGUUUAACAAAAAUGUCACUUUCAGACUGUUUAGUAAACGAAGUUUACUCACAUCAAAGGUCUUGCCAAGAUCCAACAGAUGAAAACCAGGCAAGAAACAAUCCUUAAAAUGUUACAGAUAUCCACAGUCCAGUUCAAAAUGGAGAUUGCUGUCUGGAGGAAAACAAAGAGAAGUCUUCUCCCAUUGCAGGUAGGAAAAGAGUGAGUGCAGGAAGGAAGAGAUAGGGAUUAAUGCAUUUUCUUUUUCCCGCCACCAGGUUUGCGGGUGUGACAUCACAGAGUCCCCUCUAUGCGUGGUCCCCUCCAUGGUGCCAUUGCCUCUGUUAGUGACCGUCUAGCCAUCAUGUGUUUGUGAUUUUGGCUGCACACCCUCCCACACCGAUACCAUUGUUCUCUGGGAAGCUCCCACACAAAAUGAUAAAACGCAAUUAAAAAAAAAUUAAUAUAUUAAGAUAA